rfam:Schistosoma curassoni strain Dakar, Senegal genome assembly, scaffold: SCTD_scaffold0000309
AUCUAGCUGACAAGUUCCAAAUAGGACGAAACGCAUAUCCUGUAU